rnacentral:tRNA from 1 species
GGUAUAUUAGCUCAGUUGGUUAGAGCGUGGUACUAAUAAUGCCAAGGUUACAGGCUAGACCCCUGUGUGGACUA